rnacentral:rRNA from 1 species
GAACGAGACCUUCGGGUCUAGUGGCGCACGGGUGCGUAACGCGUGGGAAUCUGCCCUUGGGUUCGGAAUAACAGUGAGAAAUUACUGCUAAUACCGGAUGAUGUCUUCGGACCAAAGAUUUAUCGCCCAGGGAUGAGCCCGCGUAGGAUUAGCUAGUUGGUGGGGUAAUGGCCUACCAAGGCGACGAUCCUUAGCUGGUCUGAGAGGAUGAUCAGCCACACUGGGACUGAGACACGGCCCAG